UACGUAGGGGGCAAGCGUUGUCCGGAGUCAUUGGGCGUAAAGCGCGUGUAGGCGGCUUGGUAAGUCUGCUCUGAAAGCCCGGGGCUCAACCCCGGGAGGCGGGUGGAUACUGUCAAGCUCGAGUCCGGAAGAGGAGUGUGGAAUUCCUGGUGUAGCGGUGAAAUGCGUAGAUAUCGGGAGGAACACCUGAGGCGAAGGCGGGCUACUGGGCCGAUACUGACGCUGAUGCGCGAAAGCCAGGGGAGCGAACGGG
rnacentral:rRNA from 1 species